rnacentral:rRNA from 1 species
UCCUACGGGAGGCAGCAGUGGGGAAUAUUGGACAAUGGGCGCAAGCCUGAUCCAGCCAUGCCGCGUGAGUGAUGAAGGUCUUAGGAUUGUAAAGCUCUUUCACCGGUGAAGAUAAUGACGGUAACCGGAGAAGAAGCCCCGGCUAACUUCGUGCCAGCAGCCGCGGUAAUACGAAGGGGGCUAGCGUUGUUCGGAUUUACUGGGCGUAAAGCGCACGUAGGCGGACUUUUAAGUCAGGGGUGAAAUCCCGGGGCUCAACCCCGGAACUGCCUUUGAUACUGGAAGUCUUGAGUUCGAGAGAGGUGAGUGGAAUUGCGAGUGUAGAGGUGAAAUUCGAAGA